rnacentral:rRNA from 1 species
AUGAUAUUUUCACAUGGAAACAUUUACAAAGUGCUACAUGUAUUCCGUUUGUACCAAAGAAUUAAUAGAAAACUGGAGAUAUGUAUACUGGACAAGCACAUAGUCCUAUAUGCCAAUCAGAAGGAAACAGUGAGGGCAUCCAACAUUGCUUGCUAUCUCACAUACAUACUUACGGAGGUUCUUCAAAGAGUAAAUUGUAGUAGCAUCAAGUCGAUGGGAUGCAUGCAUAUGACUAUGGACAUCUUCCAGUGGCCUUUUUUUCCAAACUUACUAAACAUUCAUUUCCCCUGCAAAAAAAUAAUUUACUACUCCCUCCGUUCCUAA